AAUAAUUGCACAUAAAUGUUUAUUAAGUUUACCUGUGGGAGGGGCAGGGAUAACAUGUUCCUCUAUAGGAGAUGGCACCGGGCGCAUGUUCUGAAACUGCUACUAGAACAUGCUUUGGAAUUCAGCCCUCAUCUCUGAUCUAACCUCGGCCCUGAUCUCCUCUCUAAGGUUUUCUCGGACCUUUUUUGUGAUCUCUUCUGUCAUCCAUUGUGUAUCACUGUAUGAAUAUGAACGUUGACGAGAAGAGCUCCCAAAAUAAUCAUUAAUUCCUACUCCAGAACCUGCAGCACGUACACGUCCAGGGUGCUCAGGUCGUCCAAUCGCAGCAGCAAGAAUAUCCUGNCGACCCUCUGGAGUGAAUUGGCCUUGGGAGCUCUGC
rnacentral:lncRNA from 1 species